GAGUCGCAAGACCGCGAGGUUUAGCAAAUCUCUUAAAGCCGUUCUCAGUUCGGAUUGUAGGCUGCAACUCGCCUACAUGAAGUCGGAAUCGCUAGUAAUCGCGGAUCAGCAUGCCGCGGUGAUUACGUUCCCGGGCCUUGUACACACCGCCCGUCACACCAUGAGAGUUUGUAACACCCAAAGCCGGUGGGGUAACCUUUUGGAGCCAGCCGUCUAAGGUGGGACAGAUGAUUAGGGUGAAGUCGUAACAAGGUAUC
rnacentral:rRNA from 1 species